rnacentral:rRNA from 1 species
AUGGCUCAGAUUGAACGCUGGCGGCAGGCCUAACACAUGCAAGUCGAACG